GUGAACGCUGGCGGUAGGCCUAACACAUGCAAGUCGAACGGCAGCACAGUAAGAGCUUGCUCUUACGGGUGGCGAGUGGCGGACGGGUGAGGAAUACAUCGGAAUCUACUUUUUCGUGGGGGAUAACGUAGGGAAACUUACGCUAAUACCGCAUACGACCUACGGGUGAAAGCAGGGGAUCUUCGGACCUUGCGCGAUUGAACGAGCCGAUGUCGGAUUAGCUAGUUGGCGGGGUAAAGGCCCACCAAGGCGACGAUCCGUAGCUGGUCUGAGAGGAUGAUCAGCCACACUGGAACUGAGACACGGUCCAGACUCCUACGGGAGGCAGCAGUGGGGAAUAUUGGACAAAGGGCGCAAGCCUGAUCCAGCCAUACCGCGUGGGUGAAGAAGGCCUUCGGGUUGUAAAGCCCUUUUGUUGGGAAAGAAAAGCAGCAGGUUAAUACCCCGCUGUUCUGACGGUACCCAAAGAAUAAGCACCGGCUAACUUCGUG
rnacentral:rRNA from 1 species